rnacentral:tRNA from 1 species
GGAUGGGUAGCCUAGCGGCGACGGCAGGAGACUGUAAAUCUCUGACAUCAGAAACAUCGUAGGUUCGAGUCCUACCCCAUCCA